rnacentral:rRNA from 1 species
UCCGUAGGUGGAUAAUUAAGUCAGAGGUGAAAUCCUGCAGCUCAACUGUAGAAUUGCCCUUGAUACUGGUUGUCUUGAGUCAUUAUGAAGUAGUUAGAAUAUGUAGUGUAGCGGUGAAAUGCAUAGAUAUUACAUAGAAUACCAAUUGCGAAGGCAGAUUACUAAUAAUGUACUGACACUGAUGGACGAAAGCGUGGGGAGCGAACAGGAUUAGAUACCCUGGUAGUCC